GACGAACGCUGGCGGCGUGCCUAAUACAUGCAAGUAGAACGCAGUUGCGAACGGGUGAGUAACGCGUAGGUAACUGCCUCAUAGCGGGGGAUAACUAUUGGAAACGAUAGCUAAUACCGCAUACUGUGAGAUGGACCUGCGUUGUAUUAGCUAGUUGGUGAGGUAAAGGCUCACCAAGGCGACGAUACAUAGCCGACCUGAGAGGGGUGUCGGGCCAACUGGGAAUGGGGCACUGGCCAGACUCCCACGGGAAGCAGCAGUAGGGGAACUUCGGGAAAGGGCGGAAGUCUGGACGAGCAAAGGCGGGUGGGUGAAAGAAGUUUUCGGGUCGGAAAGCUCUGGUGUUAGAGGAGCGGUAACUAACCAGAAAGGGACGGCUAACUACGUGCCAGCAGCCGCGGUAAUUC
rnacentral:rRNA from 1 species